GUCUCAAAAAAAAAAAAAAAAAAAAAAAAAAAAGAAUUUUUGUCAGUUUCUUCUCUUAUCAUGGUCUAACCUCAGACAACUUACAGUGGGUGCCACAGGUGUUAAUAUACAAAAGAAUAAACAAUACAGCUGGGGUGAUCUCUUCUUUCUGGAAGAUUACUGUACUCAAAGACACAACAUUUUCUAAACAUUUAGAAAUGAAUUCCUAAAAUUCUAUCAAUGCAAACCGAGUGGGAAUAAUUCAGAAACUGAAGGCUGCAAUGGUUUGUCUCCUUCCAAAUUCAGCCUUCCUUCCCCUCUCCCACAAUGACCCCGGCCUUUUUUUGCGUAUAAAUUACCUCUGCCUGGGGUUGGAUGGGGCACUGUGCUAAACCUCUGGGAGAGGAUGUGCUCUAGGCCUCCAGGAACUCAUACUCUGUGACAGAUGGUGGCAAAUUAAACUGGCAGUUGAAAAAGCCAGAGUGUUUCCAGGGCUUCUGCUAGAGGAGUGGUUCCAGAGGGGUAGAGUCAGGCAAGAUGAAUAGCUGGAAAGUGGCCAAAAGCAAUCCGUGCUCCGCAUCAAUUUGGUUAAUAAAUACUGCCUGAAAACCUAUGUAGAAGAAGCUAUUCCAGACCCUGUAUGUGCACACAAAGAUAAAAGAGACCUUUUUCUGUCCUAUAAUCUGGUAAGACUGACAACACACUGAAGGGAGCAGCGACAAUGCUAGGCUGGACAGGGGUAGGAACAAAGGCUGAUACAAGAGUGAGCCCAAAAUUACAACUGUAGUGUGAAAAUGUGUGUGGAUGGGUGAGCCUUGAAUGACAUGAUAAGAAUGAGAGAAACUGAGUCCUGGGGCUGGCCAGGACCCUAGGAAUGAUCUAAGCAAUCCCCUCAAUUUAAGCAUGAGGAAACUGAGAUCCCUCCCUAGCAAAGUGAAGUGACUUGUCCAAGGUCAGGGUCACUCAGGUGCUUGAUACUCAGUGAUUUAAUAGUACAAAUAAUACAACCAGUGGCUAAGAUGAUGAAGCACCUAUUCUAAGUGCUUUAGAUGUACUCACUAGAUUAACUAAUCACAUCCUCACACCAGCUUAUUUUCGCUUAACAGAUGAAGAAACUGAGACAGAAGAGGGUAAAUACCUUGCCCAGUCAUGGAGCUGGUAAAUGUUGGAAAUGAGACUUGCCCAGCGGUUGGGCUCCUGGGCCUGUGCUCCGAACUUCUGGGGUACAUGGCCCCUUGGCCUCUGAUUCCUGGGCCAGUGCUACUUGUCCUGGAACCGGGCCUGGAAGGGACUGGGGAGACACUGUACUCUCCUAAACAAGGGAGUGACCUGAUGAAGGUGGCAUUUAGUGAUGCUUCGUAUGGCUUCAGUGGUCAAGGUGGACUAGAGAAGAAAUGGAGAAGGGAGACCAGGUAGGACAUGAAUUAAAUUCAGUUAUGAUGCACAUCUGGACUGCAGCAGGUCUGGAGAAGAUGGUGCUGGACUGGAAUGGUUAGUCAGCAGUCAUUUACUCCACGGGAUGAACUAGCCUGCCCUGUUGCUUAUCCUGUGGGAAAAGAAAAACAACUGAAGGAAGGAAUGGAGAGGGGAGAAAACAAAAAGGAGAGGAGGAAUAGUAUGUAAAGGGAAGGGGCAAAGGAGCAAAAGUAGAAAUGGAACAAGACUGGUGAUGACUUCACAGUAUUUCCUCACCUAGUCCCUGGCCUUUUGGCUAUAGUUUAAACUAUCAAUUUCUGUCAAUUUCUCAUUGAAGGAAUAGAACGGGAACGAUGCCAUCCUAAUGAGCACGAGACCUUAACAAGGUAGUAGAGAUCUCACGAGAAACCCAGCUGGGGUCCACAGAUCAGGAACUCCCACAGGGAAGGACUUGCCACCCCAGUGCUAGGACCCCAUCAGCAUACAGCAGACACUGAUAGGACCCCAUUAGCAGAUAGCAGACAGCUAUAGGCUGUAGAGACCCUCCUCGUCCAAGGUCGCAGCCUUCAUGGAGCAACCCGCAUCCAGCUACUGACUGACACAGAAGGACAAGGCCAGGCCAUUUUAGCCCAACAUGGGUAAGCCCGACAGGCCAUUAAAACUCCAAAGCUCCCUGUAGGGUGGGCUGAGGCUGCUGCUGUGCCCUCUCACAGCUCAACUCCUCCCUCUACCCACUCCUGCCUCGUCUCCCUUCCUUCCACAGGUGUGGAUCCGAGAACACUCCUUAAUAAACCUCCUGCCCACUGAACUCUGCUCAGAGUCGGCUUCCGGGGAGCCCAGGCAGCAUCGCAGAGGCUCUCUGUCCGCCUCAUCCCUCCGCAACGAAACUCCAACUUCCUCCUUCUGGUUAGGGAGUGCCUCUUCCUCCUGCACCGUGCACUUCCUCCACAAACCGUGUGCAUCACGGGCGGUGAUCUUUCCUGUGGAGACGGCCUGCUCUUCAGCUGGGGCAGAGGCUUAAUGGCCCCCCUUGCUGAAGCCUUCAAACAGGCUGGGGGCAGGUUGCUUUAUCUCCCCGUUGACUGCAGAUGUAUACAGAACAUGGAAUCCCUUGACAUUUUUUUUUUUUUGAUUGAAGCUUUUUGUUUUUAAAUUUCUGUGAGACCCACUGGGUCAGGCUUCAGGAUCUGCCGAUAGACCUUUGUCAGCAGGGGUGUGUGUGUGUGUGUGUGUGUGUGUGUCUAAAUGUAAGUAACCACCAGAGCUUGCUUCAGUAGUCAAGGAGAAUUCAUUGUUUUAAUAGAAUAACUCAUGAAGUUCAAGGGCCAGAAUGCAGCCCAGCGAUGUGGACUGCCUCAGGGCAUAGGCAGAAGGGCCUCUCCAGCUCUCUCUGCUCUGGGCUGGUACUCACGCUGCAGGCCAGGCAGGGCUGCUGCUUUGUGCACAUGGCAGAGGCAGCAUGCCCCUGAGUGCCGGGAUCCACCCCACCGCAGAUCCAGCCACACUUGUUAGUGGUUUCUGAAUACUGCUUCCAGAUCUCAAGAGAGUGAAACUCUGACUGCCCAGCUUGAGCGAGUGGGCAACCCUGCUCACCCUGCUGUUAGGGGGCUAGUCCCACAAACAUGGCAGACAUCCCCUGACCUCCUACAGGGGGUGCAGACUGUGGUGAACAAAGGGGACGACCCUCCACAAAGGGCCCAUGACAUGGUGUGAGCAUGCGCACAGUGGGGUAGGUGCACCAAUUAGACAAUGUUUGCAUGCGAUAUGACUAGAUUUCUCAAGAGACAACUCUCAUAGAUCAAUGUGCCCGUCACAGAGGAGCAAGGAGUAUGCUUGAGAGGAAGAGACAAUGAGUAGCUAUUUGAAUUCAUUGUGAACCGGGCAAACUGUAAACAGGGAUGACACUGCUUCCCACAUAGUCACAUACACAGCAUCACGAAGUUAAGAAGAUCAGCCACAUUGAGUGUGGCGCUCUCCUCCUCUUGGAGCAACGUUUCCAUUGACAUUCGGAGAGGCGCGCUGCCCCCAGAUGCUCGUUUUCAAACACAGGACGUGAGCAGUUUCACAAAUAUCCACCAGAUGGUACCUUCCUACCAGAAAUUAGGUUUCAGGUUGUGAAAAUCCAAAUUGUUUUUCCACUCUACGGACAAGCUAUAGAAUCAGAUGCCUGCCCUGGCUACGGUCAAAGGAAAGAAAAUGGGUGAGAACCAAUUCCAGGGGACGACCCACAGUGUUUUUAUUCUCAGGAAUACGAAAGAGAAGUUGCAGGGUCUUUGUGUGGUGGAGGGAGGGAGCUGCUGUGGAUGAGUCAUGGAAAGGCUGCGUGCAAGGGAAAGACCUUGAGGUUAUCUCCUGAGAGGGAUUGGUUGUAAAUAUCCUCAAUGGCAUCUUUGUUUUAUCCCACUGGUUGCCAAAUACCUGUGAGUCUGCACAGCACUCCUGGAAUGCUCAGAAAUGAUGACUGGUUACCCUGUCAAAGAAGGCCUUUGUUGGAGAAACUUCCUCAUUUGUUCAGGCCUUUGGGUUGUAAGCCCUGAGCCGUAGUCUCCCCAGGUUGUCUGCCUGUGUGGGCUGGGGAGGGUAACGGAUGUUCACCAUGGGGUGACCCCCUUGUCCUGGUUUGGCAGGUGCCUUCCUGCCUUUAGCACUGACAGUAAAGCAAACCCAGGCGGUUGGUUAUCUCGGUGCACUGAGCUGUACACACUAGGGACAAUGCUGGAUCCUCACGCAGGUUCAAUAAGCUGGGCAAUUUGAAUAUCUUCACAUUAUUAAUCAUUUUAUUCUUGGCAUUUGCUUACCAGAUCUCCCUGCUUCAUUUUGCCAGGGAGGCUUAUGUCAGAAAAGGUAAAGUUAUGGAGAAAGAGGUUUUUUCUUGGCUUUUGAGUUCACACAUUACAGAGGUAAAACCGAAUAGAUGUGGGAGAACGUGGUAAAUAGAUACAACUUUCCUGGGUUGGGGAGAGAAAAGAGAAUAGUGAAACUCCGUCUCCACUAAAAAUACAAAAAUUAGCCUGGCAUGGUGGCACGCGCCUGUAAUCCCGACUACUUGGGAGGCUGCGGCAGGAGAAUCCCUUGAACCCAGGAGGUGGAGGUUGCAGUGACUCUGUUCCCUGCAUUGGAAGUGCUCCCCACCAAACUCUCUAACAGAAGGGGUGGGAUUUGCAGGCUCCCUGGGUGGCGUGCUUUCAACACCUUGUGGGCUGCCUUCCACUCUGGUAUUCUCCUCUGCCUGCUGAUGCUUGAAAUCCCUUGAACCGGCCACACAGACCUGCAUUCUGGAAUCAGAGAUAAGACUGGAAAGGCAAGGUUUCCUGGGACGGGAAAAGAGUGAUUUAAAUUUUCGCCGAGGUGUAAGCUGCGGAUGGCAGGUUCUUUCCUGAGAACCGCCUUCAACUAGGAGGAGGAGGUUGGAAGCAGGACCCUGAGCUGACCCGUCGAUCAGGAGAAGAGUAAGCAGAAAGGAGGGACGCGUGGGUGGCAGGAGAGAAGGCUGGGAGCCAGGGUGGGGGUCGCUGCCCCCAGCCCCGCGAUGCUGAGCUGAUCCCCACAUUCCACGCUAAUGGGUCUCUGUUUUGAUUUUACAAGACUAAAAAGUAGUUUUCUAAAAACAUUCUGGAAUGCAAAAAGGUUCCCACUAUUUAUUUACUUACAUAAGACUAUUAACAACAAACAAACUCUACCACGUAUAGUCACCACCAUUCACAAAAGAAAGGAUGUUUGAAUGACAAAAAAGUGAAAACGACAAUCUCCAAGUAGGAUAAUCCUUUACAUUAGAUGCACAUAGCUUUAUGGAAGAAGAAUGACUGUUUUGCUGUUUUCUACCCCCCUUAGCCGUGAUCCCAUGAAAAUGCUGGCAGAGACUGGCAUCCAGGCACCAACUGGCUUUUGCGAAUCACUCACUGUUCCCGCCCGGAUUCUGAAGCCCGGAGCCGUUUAUCGUUUGAGGCACCUUGCUUCCCCCUGGUGGCCACAGGGAGUUACUGUCGCGGCUAAAAGGGCGUCACAGUGUAUACACAGCGCGCCCUAUCCCGCCAUACAUUCUCUGCUUUUUGAACACCCGCCGUGGGCUAAGCAGGGGACCCAUGUGGGAUGCAGACACAUGGAGAAGAAGAGAGCCAGGCCCUUGCUGCCAAGGAACUUUCUUAUAACACCGAUGCUUCAAACAAAAGGACUCAGGCUAACGGUGCCUCCACACGUCAAUAUCCGAGAAGAGAGAAAGGGGAUGUGGAAAUUUGCACAACGGCUCUUGAAGUUUUUCGGGUGGAGGAAUCCACAGCACUUCCCAUCGCAUCUCUUUGACCAAGGCUAUCCAGGAGGCCAUUCCUAACCUGGAAGGGGUGGGGAAAUGAAGUCCUUACCCUGUGCUCAGAAGGAGUGAGCACUAGGUUACCUGUAAACAGCCCAAAUCACCACCACGGUUAGAGAUAUUUCCAUAACUGCUGUUAGGAAAAAGUGAUUUCUCCAUCUGAUUAAAAAACAAAAAAAUUAGAGGUGAGGGUGGGGGUGAAGGCAAAAGAAAAAAAAAAGAAAUUCAUAUUAAGCAUAAUCUUUUUCCUUAUUAUUUCUAUCUAGUGGUUAACCAUUGCUUUCUAGUGAGCAGAAAAAAGCUUUCCAUACACUACUUAAAUAUGUGAAAAUAAGUAAAUGUUGCAUUCCCUUAUCUUUUCUUCUCAGGAUUAAGUGUCUCCCCAUUUUUUUUUUUUUAACCACACUUUCCUCGUAUGAUGUAGUUUCCAGAACUUUAUUUACCAUUGGUAAUAUAUACUAACCGAAUUGUAGCAGGCUGUGUUCACUAAGUGAGCUCAGUGGGAGAAAAAAUUUAAAAAGUAGUUUCUGGUAAGGAGAAUCCAAAGAUGACUUUUUGCCUAGAUCCCUGGGUUUCUUCACCAGCAUCGCCUAUGGAAGAUCAGCAGCUUCUCAACCCUCAACCACAAUGGAAGCACCUGGAGAAAUUAAUCAGUGCUGCGGAGGCUUCUCUGCCAGGGACUCUGAUUGAAUCCGCUUUGAGUGGUCCUGGGUAUCUGUAUUUUUUAAACAAUGUUCUUCUGUUAUCUAGAGCUGCAUAACAA